GACGAACGCUGGCGGCGUGCCUAACACAUGCAAGUCGAACGGAGUGAAGCCCUUCGGGACUUCACUUAGUGGCGAACGGGUGAGUAACGCGUGAGGAACCUGCCUUUCAGUGGGGGACAACAGUUGGAAACGACUGCUAAUACCGCAUAGUGCUUUCGAACGGCAUCGUUUGAAAGUCAAAGAUUUAUCGCUGAAAGAUGGUCUCGCGUCUGAUUAGCUAGUUGGUGAGGUAACGGCUCACCAAGGCGACGAUCAGUAGCCGGUCCGAGAGGAUGAACGGCCACAUUGGGACUGAGAUACGGCCCAGACUCCUACGGGAGGCAGCAGUGGGGAAUAUUGGGCAAUGGGGGGAACCCUGACCCAGCAACGCCGCGUGAAGGAAGAAGGCUUUCGGGUUGUAAACUUCUUUUACCAGGGGCGAAGAAAGUGACGGUACCUGGAGAAAAAGCAACGGCUAACUACGUGCCAGCCGCCGCGGUAACAC
rnacentral:rRNA from 1 species